rnacentral:tRNA from 1 species
GGUCUUGUGGUCUAGUGGUAUGAUUCUCGCUUAGGGUUAAACCCGAGCAUAGCUUGCGAGAGGCCCCGCGUUCGAGUCGCGGCAAGACCC